GUCCACGCUGUAAACGAUGUCUACUAGCCGUUGGGAGACUUGAUUUCUUAGUGGCGCAGCUAACGCAAUAAGUAGACCGCCUGGGGAGUACGGCCGCAAGGUUAAAACUCAAAUGAAUUGACGGGGGCCCGCACAAGCGGUGGAGCAUGUGGUUUAAUUCGAUGCAACGCGAAGAACCUUACCAGGUCUUGACAUCCAGAGAACUUGGCAGAGAUGCCUUGGUGCCUUCGGGAGCUCUGAGACAGGUGCUGCAUGGCUGUCGU
rnacentral:rRNA from 1 species